rnacentral:rRNA from 1 species
AUUGAACGCUGGCGGCAUGCUUUACACACGCAAGUCGAGCGGCAGCGCGGGGCAACCUGGCGGCGAGCGGCGAACGGGUGAGUAAUGCAUCGGAACGUACCCAUUUGUGGGGGAUAACUAUCCGAAAGGAUAGCUAAUACCGCAUAAGUCCUGAGGGAGAAAGCGGGGGAUCGCAAGACCUCGCGCGAAUGGAGCGGCCGAUGCCGGAUUAGCUAGUUGGUAGGGUAAAGGCCUACCAAGGCGACGAUCCGUAGCUGGUCUGAGAGGAUGAUCAGCCACACUGGGACUGAGACACGGCCCAGACUCCUACGGGAGGCAGCAGUGGGGAAUUUUGGACAAUGGGCGAAACCCUGAUCCAGCCAUUCCGCGUGAGUGAAGAAGGCCUUCGGGUUGUAAAGCUCUUUCGGCAGGAACGAAACGGUUUGGGCUAAUACCCUGAGCUAAUGACGGUACCUGAAGAAGAAGCACCGGCUAACUACGUG